rfam:Capsicum annuum cultivar Zunla-1 chromosome 7, whole genome shotgun sequence
AAUUUAUGAUUUGGGCAUUGAGCAAGCUUACCCUUAAACCUCUCCCAAGCUUCAAACAAUGGUUCCCCAUUCAUUUGCCAAAAAUUUACAAUCUCAUCCCACUU